AAGUCGAGCGGAUGAGAGGAGCUUGCUCCUGGAUUCAGCGGCGGACGGGUGAGUAAUGCCUAGGAAUCUGCGUGGUAGUGGGGGACAACGUUUCGAAAGGAACGCUUAUACCGCAUACGUCCUACGGGAGAAAGCAGGGGACCUUCGGGCCUUGCGCUAUCAGAUGAGCCUAGGUCGGAUUAGCUAGUUGGUGAGGUAAUGGCUCACCAAGGCGACGAUCCGUAACUGGUCUGAGAGGAUGAUCAGUCACACUGGAACUGAGACACGGUCCAGACUCCUACGGGAGGCAGCAGUGGGGAAUAUUGGACAAUGGGCGAAAGCCUGAUCCAGCCAUGCCGCGUGUGUGAAGAAGGUCUUCGGAUUGUAAAGCACUUUAAGUUGGGAGGAAGGGUUGUAAAUUAAUACUCUGCUGUUUUGACGUUACCGACAGAAUAAGCACCGGCUAACUCUGUGCCAGCAGCCGCGGUAAUACAGAGGGUGCAAGCGUUAAUCGGAAUUACUGGGCGUAAAGCGCGCGUAGGUGGUUCGUUAAGUUGGAUGUGAAAUCCCCGGGCUCAACCUGGGAACUGCAUUCAAAACUGUCGAGCUAGAGUAUGGUAGAGGGUGGGUGGAAUUUCCUGUGUAGCGGUGAAAUGCGUAGAUAUAGGGAAGGAACACCAGUGGCGAACGCGAC
rnacentral:rRNA from 1 species